CAAUAAAUGUUGAUAGGAAAAGGUGCAAAAGGGCUCCAGAAAGACUGCAUUAGUCCAGACAAAAAGGCCAACUGAUAUAACUCCGGACUGCAGUACAACAACAAGCAACAAGACAUCAUACCCUACACGACCAUGACGUGUAAGAGCACCGGGAACCCCCAGACAAGUGAAUCCUGACUGGCCAUCAGAUGUAUAUUGGGAGUGAUGGAGGGUUUUUGCAGCUGGAAUUUUCUCUUACGAUGUGUUUGUACAGUGCCUAGCAUGAUGGGACCCUGGUCACCGGUGAAGCAUCCAAGUGCUACUGUGACAUAAUGACAUAGAUACAGG